rnacentral:misc_RNA from 1 species
GAAAUGCGAUAACUAGUGUGAAUUGCAGAAUUCCGUGAAUCAUCGAGUCUUUGAACGCGCAUUGCGCCCCCUGGUAUUCCCGGGGGCAUGCCUGUCCGAGCGUCAUUGCUGCCCAUCAAGCACGGCUUGUGUGUUGGGUCGUCGUCCCCUCUCCGGGGGGGACGGGCCCCAAAGGCAGCGGCGGCACCGCGUCCGAUCCUCGAGCGUAUGGGGCUUUGUCACCCGCUCUGUAGGCCCGGCCGGCGCUUGCCGAACGCAAAUCAAUCUUUUUCCAGGUUGACCUCGGAUCAGGUAGGGAUACCCGCUGAACUUAAGC